rnacentral:lncRNA from 1 species
CAAAACCCAAGUUGAGUAGAAUCUUGGAUGUUUUUCUAGUGUAACCUCAUAUAGAGUAAAUUGUGUUUCCUAUGUCUUUUUAAUUUGUAUAGUCGUCCAUUUCUGGAGAAUCACCUGGAACCGGGUAUAUAUAUGGAGAUAAAUACAUAUAUUUUUACAUAGCCAUCCUGUUGUGCCUCAGUCUGGCUGGGCACAAAUCACGAGCCACUCAAACAGGAACAAACUUUAUUUCCGAACUCCCCCAAACGCCACUCAUGCGGCCUUCCAGUGACACCACACACCAAUUGGAACUCCCCCACCGGAACUCCACCAACCAACUCGAACUCUUCAGGAAUCCCCAGAGAGAUCAACCAGAACUCAACAGGAACUCCGUGAGAACUCAAAAGUCAUCAUCUUAAUGGGUCACUGGCGUAACCUCUCAACCACUACUUCUGGCAAAAUGCCAGGGGCCAUUUCAACUCAGCUGUUGAGUUAUGUAAUCCUGCUAAGUAACACUUUCUAGAAAGGUAAGAUUUACCCUUGAAGCAAUAUUAGUGCAGUUUGAUAUAUAUAUUUAUAAAGUUAUCUCCAUGGAAAGAAAAUUUGAGUAUGUCUUUUAGAUAAUAACUAUGAAGUUUGUCAUCCUCUGUCAUAUGAAAUAACUUAAUUGUACAG